rnacentral:rRNA from 1 species
UAGAGUUUGAUCAUGGCUCAGGAUGAACGCUAGCGGCAGGCUUAACACAUGCAAGUCGAGGGGCAUCGGGAGGAAAGCUUGCUUUCCUUGCCGGCGACCGGCGCACGGGUGAGUAACACGUAUGCAACCUGCCCUCUUCAGGGGGACAACCUUCCGAAAGGGAGGCUAAUCCCGCGUAUAUCGGUUUCGGGCAUCCGAGAUCGAGGAAAGAUUCAUCGGAAGAGGAUGGGCAUGCGGCGCAUUAGCUUGACGGCGGGGUAACGGCCCACCGUGGCGACGAUGCGUAGGGGUUCUGAGAGGAAGGUCCCCCACACUGGUACUGAGACACGGACCAGACUCCUACGGGAGGCAGCAGUGAGGAAUAUUGGUCAAUGGGAGAGAUCCUGAACCAGCCAAGCCGCGUGAGGGAAGACGGCCCUAUGGGUUGUAAACCUCUUUUGUCGGAGAACAAAACCCGGGACGUGUCCCGGACUGCGUGUAUCCGAAGAAAAAGCAUCGGCUAACUCCGUGCCAGCAGCCGCGGUAAUACGGAGGAUGCGAGCGUUAUCCGGAUUUAUUGGGUUUAAAGGGUGCGUAGGCGGUCCGUUAAGUCAGCGGUAAAAUUGCGGGGCUCAACCCCGUCGAGCCGUUGAAACUGGCAGACUUGAGUUGGCGAGAAGUACGCGGAAUGCGCGGUGUAGCGGUGAAAUGCAUAGAUAUCGCGCAGAACUCCGAUUGCGAAGGCAGCGUACCGGCGCCAGACUGACGCUGAGGCACGAAAGCGUGGGGAUCGAACAGGAUUAGAUACCCUGGUAGUCCACGCAGUAAACGAUGAAUGCUGGUUGUCCGGGUCGAAUGAGAUCUGGGCGGCGAAGCGAAAGCGAUAAGCAUUCCACCUGGGGAGUACGCCGGCAACGGUGAAACUCAAAGGAAUUGACGGGGGCCCGCACAAGCGGAGGAACAUGUGGUUUAAUUCGAUGAUACGCGAGGAACCUUACCCGGGCUCAAACGGGAGUGGAAUGGACCAGAGACGGUUCAGCCUACGGGCCGCUUCCGAGGUGCUGCAUGGUUGUCGUCAGCUCGUGCCGUGAGGUGUCGGCUUAAGUGCCAUAACGAGCGCAACCCCCGCCGGCAGUUGCUAACGGGCAAUGCCGAGGACUCUGCCGGGACUGCCGCCGCAAGGCGAGAGGAAGGCGGGGAUGACGUCAAAUCAGCACGGCCCUUACGUCCGGGGCGACACACGUGUUACAAUGGGCGGUACAGCGGGAAGCCAGGCGGCGACGCCGAGCGGAACCCGAAAGCCGUUCUCAGUUCGGAUCGGAGUCUGCAACCCGACUCCGUGAAGCUGGAUUCGCUAGUAAUCGCGCAUCAGCCAUGGCGCGGUGAAUACGUUCCCGGGCCUUGUACACACCGCCCGUCAAGCCAUGGGAGCCGGGGGUGCUUGAAGUGCGUCGCCGCGAGGCGCGCCCUAGAGCAAAACCGGUGACUGGGGCUAAGUCGUAACAAGGUAACCGUAA